rnacentral:miRNA from 1 species
AUAUGUUUUGAUUCUUUGGCA